rnacentral:rRNA from 1 species
AACGAACGCUGGCGGCAGGCCUAACACAUGCAAGUCGAACGCCCGUAGCAAUACGGGAGUGGCAGACGGGUGAGUAACGCGUGGGAACGUGCCCUUCGGUUCGGAAUAACUCAGGGAAACUUGAGCUAAUACCGGAUACGUCCGUAAGGAGAAAGAUUUAUCGCCGAAGGAUCGGCCCGCGUCGGAUUAGCUAGUUGGCGGGUACGG